GUGAGCCUGGGAAAGAAGUUUGUGUGGGGACUGUGGGCAGUGAACGCGUUGGGAACAAUAUGGAAAACUGGGAGCUGCCUUGGAAUCUACAGGGCCGGGACCCACUCGAGCCAUCCACACUUUCCCCAGCCUCCUCCAAAACAGCACACUUUCCAGCUGAAGAAAAGAAGAACGAUAUUCACGCAGUUCCCAUUUUACAGAUGAAAACAAGAGGACUUUUUCUGUGAAGUCAGGAAAGUGGUUACAAUGGUACUUUCCGCCUGUCCGAAUUAUGUAUUGCCCCUCCCCUUUCUAUUAAUAACAUUGAAGUGUGAUGGGACAACCACUGAAGCCGUCAGUUGAAACCUGCUGGGACUUUUUAGCCAUUCUCUUCAACAUAAAGAAUGGGUGUUUUUGGAGGGGUGAGAGGAAUGGGGAAAUGUUGUCAAAGAGUACAAUGUUUUAGUUGAGACAGGAAGAAUACAUUUUGUUGAGAUCUACAGCACAGCAUGGUGACUGUAGUUAACAAUGAAGUAUUGUGUAUUUCAAAAUUGCUAAGACAAUAAAUUUCAAAUGUUCUCACCACAAAAAA
rnacentral:antisense_RNA from 1 species